rnacentral:rRNA from 1 species
GUCUAUAGCCAUGCCACCCUGAACAUAUCCAAUAUCUGAUCUCAGAAGCUAAACAGGGUCAGGCCUGGUUAGUACUUGGAUGGGAGACCACCUAGGAAGACCAGGUGCUGUAAGCA